GUGAAACACAUCUCUUUCUAUUUCAUUGGCGCAGUCGACAAAAAGUGCUCAAACGGAUGUUCCUGAAUUUAACGGAAAAGCUGAGGAACCCAGUUUUUUUAAAUUGUUUAAUUUAAGAAUCCGUUAUAAAAUAAUAGUAAAAUAAAAGCCGCAGAAUGUAAGACCAACAAAGUCCAUUAAAUAAUAAUAGCAAUAGAAAUUCUCGAAAUAUGCAAAACAGUCGGGCACCGGAACUAACCUCGUAUCAUAGACAAGAACCACUCAACAUUUCAACAAUACAACAAUAAACAGGAAGAAUUCCAGCAACGUGGGACUACAAAGA
rnacentral:lncRNA from 1 species